rnacentral:rRNA from 1 species
UGCCUCAGUAACGGCGAGUGAAGCGGCAACAGCUCAAAUUUGAAAUCUGGCGCUUUCAGCGUCCGAGUUGUAAUUUGUAGAGGAUGUUUCGGUGACGACCUCGGGUUAAUUUUCUUGGAACAGAAUGCCACAGAGGGUGAGAGCCCCGUCUUGGCCCGAGCGUACGAGCCAUGUGAAACUCCUUCGACGAGUCGAGUUGUUUGGGAAUGCAGCUCAAAAUGGGUGGUAAAUUUCAUCUAAAGCUAAAUAUUGGCCAGAGACCGAUAGCGCACAAGUAGAGUGAUCGAAAGAUGAAAAGCACUUUGAAAAGAGAGUUAAACAGUAUGUGAAAUUGUUGAAAGGGAAGCGCUGGCAACCAGACUUGAGCGCGGUGGUUCCCCCAGGCUUCUGCCUGGGUUAUUCCGUCGUGUCCAGGCCAACAUCGGUUUCGGGGGUCGGUUAAAGGCCCCAGGAAUGUAUCUUCCCCUCGGGGACGACUUAUAGCCCGGGGUGUCAUGCGACCACCUGAGACCGAGGAACGCGCUUCGGCUCGGAUGUUGGCGUAAUGGUUGUCAGCGACCCGUCUUGAAACACGGACCAAGGAGUCUAACAUCUAUGCGAGUGUUAGAGUGUCAAACUCUUACGCGGAAUGAAAGUGAACGGAGGUAAGAAGCCUUAAGGCUGCAUUAUCGACCGAUCCUGAAGUUUACGGAUGGAUUUGAGUAAGAGCAUAGCUGUUGGGACCCGAAAGAUGGUGAACUAUGCGUGAAUAGGGUGAAGCCAGAGGAAACUCUGGUGGAGGCUCGCAGCGGUUCUGACGUGCAAAUCGAUCGUCAAAU